rnacentral:lncRNA from 1 species
CCCUGGUCUGCUGAGCCUUUUCUAAAGACAUAGAAACAAGUAAGAACCAUUCUGCACAGCAUCAGGCCGAGGUGGACGUUCCAAUCAGACUGGAAGGACAGGACAGAGGGACAUGACGAUGAGGCCAUGUUGAUGAGUGUCCCUUAUACUCUGGGUAUGGUGGAUUUCCAGAUGAAAUCUCAACAAGGAGCUCUUCUGACGUGAUCGUCGCAAACGUCGUCUUCCUGCAGAUGGUACACAGCUGGAGCCGGGUUGGAGGAUCUUUCCCCUACAUUCCAUUCCCUAGAGUAAGAGAAGGCUGAGCGGCUGGUGGCCUGGCCUCUGUCAGUGGCCAAGACCCAGUGACUGAUGUCUGAACAAAGAAGGAGCCUUCUCAGGCAACAGAAUCAGCCGAAAUAAACAUCGCCAGCAUGGGUACCGUACACUGCGAGUUCAGUGGUGGCUAUAUAAUAAAUAUCUUCCCUCCAGUGCCCAAUACCACACGAUCGAAUAAAUAAGUGAAAAGUUACAAGCAAGCAGUUUCCAUGUUAUGACUGUGGGGUUGAAGAUAAUUGAAUUAAUCAGCCACCCAGAGAGUUGUGUCUCCUUGGUGUCCUGACCCAGAAGUGGGCAUCUCUCUCCAUGACUUUCAGAGCCCUUUGGUGAUAAGAGAGUUCUGGUGUUAGGGAAUAUAAAUUUAGGUUUUAUUACUGAGUUUUCUGGCAAUGAAUUCACAAAAGCCUCUGGGUGUCAUUUCACUGUAU